rnacentral:rRNA from 1 species
CUUUCUUUGCUGGCGACCGGCGCACGGGUGAGUAACACGAUCCAACCUGCCUUUACUCGGGGAUAGCCUUUCGAAAGAAAGAUUAAUACCCGAUAGUAUAAUGAUUCCGCAUGGUUUCAUUAUUAAAGGAUUCCGGUAAAGGAUGGGGAUGCGUUCCAUUAGGUUGUUGGUGAGGUAACGGCUCACCAAGCCUUCGAUGGAUAGGGGUUCUGAGAGGAAGGUCCCCCACAUUGGAACUGAGACACGGUCCAA